rnacentral:rRNA from 1 species
UACGGAGGGUGCAAGCGUUAAUCGGAAUUACUGGGCGUAAAGCGCACGCAGGUGGCUGAGUCAGUCGAUUGUGAAAGCCCUGGGCUUAACCUGGGAAUUGCAGUCGAUACUACUCGGCUCGAGUAUGGGAGAGGGCAGUGGAAUUCCCGGUGGUAGCGGUGAAAUGCGUAGAGUAUCAGGAGGAACACCGAUGGCGAAGGCAGGUCUCUGGGCCACUACUGACGCUGAGAAGCGAAAGCAUGGGGAGCGAACAGG